ensembl:lncRNA
CCGUAUUCUACUGCAUAAACUUCAAACGUCAAAUCUCUUUUCAAACUGCAUCAUAUUCAAAUCACUCAAGGCAAAUCUUCCAGUUCAAGUCGACUUUGUCAGGCCAGCGUUCAGAGAUGCCUGGCUGAUGUUUGUCCUUUCAUCAGUGAUUUGUCUGUAAAUCUUUGAGCUUUGGAAUGCCGUUGAUCUGCUCCCAUAUUGAACUCAGCGUGAGUUUCUGCUCAGCCUUGCUUCAGGGAUUGUGUUUGCCAGCGAGGGAAUUUAUUUUGGCAGCUAUAAGCUGUUUUUUUCCAUGCAAAGGAGACUUCAGUGACCUUAUCUCCACGGGAGGUACCUAUGAUGAAAACUAACAGCUCACCAGCGAUGGGACGGCAUUGAGCUGCUUGGAAGCAAAUCCUCUCGAUAUGAUGAACAGCUUUAGUUUAGUCUGUCUCCUUCUGUGCACGGGAGUGGCUUCCUUCAGAUUUGAGGAGUUGACACAAUAUGUGAACAGCCAUGAAGAGGAAUUUAUCGAGGAUCCACAGCACUAGCACGUUGAGCAUCAGCGUCACAGUCACCUGUGUCUCGUAGUGUUUGCCGUGGAGCCGGAUCUGAUCCGUGAGCGACGUCACAGAUACAGCUACAUGGAGCGAACCAAGCUGUUCAACGCCUUCCUGCAAGAAGUGUCUCAGAUCGAGAAGCACUCAUAUAAACACAUCUCUUCAUUACUAAUGCCAACAAAACCAAUUAAACAAGAGUUUUGCAUGUUUUUAUCAGUGUGAGUGAAAUAUGAACAAACCUCCAGAAUAUAGAGAGGCAUUCUGUUGUACUGUAUGUAAGAGAAAAAACUCUUUCAAUACAUGUAUUGUAAUUGAAAUCUACAGAUGCAAAUAGAUAAAGUGCAA